UGAUACCCUGGUAGUCCACGCUGUAAACGAUGUCGACUUGGAGGUUGUGCCCUUGAGGCGUGGCUUCCGGAGCUAACGCGUUAAGUCGACCGCCUGGGGAGUACGGCCGCAAGGUUAAAACUCAAAUGAAUUGACGGGGGCCCGCACAAGCGGUGGAGCAUGUGGUUUAAUUCGAUGCAACGCGAAGAACCUUACCUACUCUUGACAUCCACAGAACUUUCCAGAGAUGGAUUGGUGCCUUCGGGAACUGUGAGACAGGUGCUGCAUGGCUGUCGUCAGCUCGUGUUGUGAAAUGUUGGGUUAAGUCCCGCAACGAGCGCAACCCUUAUCCUUUGUUGCCAGCGCGUAAUGGCGGGAACUCAAAGGAGACUGCCGGUGAUAAACCGGAGGAAGGUGGGGAUGACGUCAAGUCAUCAUGGCCCUUACGAGUAGGGCUACACACGUGCUACAAUGGCAUAUACAAAGAGAAGCGAACUCGCGAGAGCAAGCGGACCUCAUAAAGUAUGUCGUAGUCCGGAUCGGAGUCUGCAACUCGACUCCGUGAAGUCGGAAUCGCUAGUAAUCGUAGAUCAGAAUGCUACGGUGAAUACGUUCCCGGGCCUUGUACACACCGCCCGUCACACCAUGGGAGUGGGUUGCAAAAGAAGUAGGUAGCUUAAC
rnacentral:rRNA from 1 species